rnacentral:lncRNA from 1 species
GAUCUUGCGAUACGAGGCUCGCUGGGUCAACCGUCGCACCCGCUGAUAUAUUUCAGUGUGCCGGAGACCGUGCUCACCAUUCGGAGCACAAUCGGCGACUGUGGUGCGCGCACGAGCGACGCGAAGGUCUAAUAAACUGCGCGCACCGCGCGAAGAUCGCGACUAAAUCACUAACCAGGGCAUCUUUGCCGCUGUCGGAGGUGAGCACGAUGUUCAGCACGAACCCUAGAUCAUCGUGCUCACUUCCCAAAGUUCAGGAGGCUAAUCGGAUCACCGGAAAGGUGACCGGAAACUCGAAAAACAGUGCUGGAACAUAACUG